AGAACGCUGGCGGCGUGCCUACCACAUGCAUGUCGAACGGGAACGCCGGUUCUGGCCGGUGAGUGGGGCGGCGCGGUGUUGAGUGCCGGGGGGAUCUUCCCCCCUCGCGGGGGGACCCCCCCAAAAAGGGGGCAAAUACCCCCAAAUACCCCAUGCCCUCUUGGGUUUGUUCUCCAGAGCUCGCUCUUUUUGGCGCUUUCUCUAAAGGAUGGCCUUCUCUACUAAAAAGCUGGGGGGGGGGGCGCCCCCCCCCGGGGCCGAAGAUAGGACCCGGCCCCAGGGGAGAACCCCCCCAGCGGGACCUCGACCCGAGGCCCCACCCCUGGGGGAGGGGGGGGGGGGGAAUUUUGCGCCCGGGGGGAAACCCUGACGCAACAACCCCCCGUGAUUGAAAAAAUUCUUCUGGUUGAAAAACUCUGUCUUUUGGAAAAAAAUGCGUUGUGUAUAAUAUCGGUGGUAUUUGACGCCACCAGCAAAAGAACCACCGCCUAACUCCGUGCCAGCAGCCGCGGUAAUACGGGGGGUGCGAGGUGUUGUUCAGAGUCUUGGGCGUAAAGCGCACGUAUGCUGCUACACACCUCAUAUGUGAAAUCCCUGGUCUUAACACAAUAAGUGAUUUUAUACUGAAUCGCUAGAGUACUGCAGGGGAAGAGAAACUCCUGGUGUAGAGGAGAAAAUCUUAGAUGGCGGGAGCACCCCUGUGCCGAGGCGACUCUCUGCCAAUAGGACGCUGAGCGCAACCUUGGAGUCCAAGCAGACCAAUCACUGAUGUCCCGCUGUAGCGAUGUACAUAGGUGUGGAGAUUACACCCUCUCGGUGCGACCUACGAAUAGUACACGCGUGAAUCAGGCCAGGUUGACUCAAGAUGGGGUGCCCAAUUGACUGUUUUAUCCCCCGACCUCUGUUGAACUGUCUGAGGGUCCUUGGACUACCGGUG
rnacentral:rRNA from 1 species